rnacentral:rRNA from 1 species
GACGGAGGGUGCAAACGUUACUCGGAAUCACUGGGCAUAAAGCGCACGUAGGCGGCUCCUUAAGUUUGAUGUGAAAUACCCCGGCUCAACCGAGGAAUUGCAUCGGAUACUGGGGAGCUCGAGAAAGGUUGGGGUGAGUGGAACUCCAGGUGGAGCGGUGAAAUGCGUAGAUAUCUGGAGGAACACCGGUGGCGAAAGCGACUCACUGGACCUUAACUGACGCUGAGGUGCGAAAGCUAGGGUAGCAAACGGG